rnacentral:rRNA from 1 species
AUUGAACGCUGGCGGCAUGCUUUACACAUGCAAGUCGAACGGUAACAGGCCUUCGGGUGCUGACGAGUGGCGAACGGGUGAGUAAUACAUCGGAACGUACCCAGAGGUGGGGGAUAACGCAGCGAAAGCUGUGCUAAUACCGCAUGUGAUCUGAGGAUGAAAGCGGGGGACCGAGCAGCAAUGUUUGGCCUCGCGCCUUUGGAGCGGCCGAUGUCGGAUUAGCUAGUUGGUGGGGUAAAGGCCUACCAAGGCGACGAUCCGUAGCUGGUCUGAGAGGACGACCAGCCACACUGGGACUGAGACACGGCCUAGACUCCUACGGGAGGCAGCAGUGGGGAAUUUUGGACAAUGGGCGCAAACCUGAUCCAGCAAUGCCGCGUGCGGGAAGAAGGCCUUCGGGUUGUAAACCGCUUUUGGCAGGAACGAAACGGUGUCCGCUAAUACCGGGCGCUAAUGACGGUACCUGCAGAAUAAGCACCGGCUAACUACGUG